rnacentral:rRNA from 1 species
AACGAACGCUGGCGGCAGGCCUAACACAUGCAAGUCGAGCGAGGACUUCGGUCCUAGCGGCGGACGGGUGAGUAACGCGUGGGAACGUGCCCUUUGCUUCGGAAUAGCCCUGGGAAACUGGGAGUAAUACCGGAUGAGCCCUUUGGGGGAAAGAUUUAUCGGCGAAGGAUCGGCCCGCGUUGGAUUAGGUAGUUGGUGGGGUAAUGGCCUACCAAGCCGACGAUCCAUAGCUGGUUUGAGAGGAUGAUCAGCCACACUGGGACUGAGACACGGCCCAGACUCCUACGGGAGGCAGCAGUGGGGAAUCUUAGACAAUGGGGGAAAACCUGAUCUAGCCAUGCCGCGUGAGCGAUGAAGGCCUUAGGGUUGUAAAGCUCUUUCAGCUGGGAAGAUAAUGACGGUACCAGCAGAAGAAGCCCCGGCUAACUCCGUG